rnacentral:lncRNA from 1 species
UGCUUGCAAUGGUGGGAAGCAGUUCCAGGGUCUGGGAGCAGCGACAGCUUAUUAUUUUGCUUGCAAUGUCUUUUAGACUGUGUUGAUUUUGUGUUUGUUUUAAUGUGAUAACUUAUUUAAUAGUGUUUUAAACAUUGUAAUUUAUUAUGAUUUUAAAAAUCAGGACCAUUAGACUACCUUCCCUCCUGCAGUGGGGAAAAGUGAAAUGUAAAUUAAAACAUGAAAGCAGGAGUGUAUUAAACACUGCAGGAAGCCCUGCAACCUAUCCAAAUAACUGAACUUUCUCUACUUUUGGAGGCUUCCAGAAUUAAGAAUUCACAUUUGGUUUUUUUGUGGGGAAACUUUUUCCCCCCUAGGGGCUGCAAAAAACACCUUGCUGGGAGGGGUGGAUGCACCCCCCCAGGGUCACCUUUGGCCCACUCUGCUUGACAUGUAUUCAUCAGCUGAAUAACACCCUCAGUCAAUUAUUAUACUGGGGCCAAAUGAAAGAUUCACAAAUGUCUUAAUUUAAUGAGAUCAACUUCCUUGCAGAUUUCUUUGGGAGCCGUUUGGAUCAAGGUUCUUCCUCAGUGCCGUUCUCCUCCUCCUCUGAUGUAUCCAUCCCGUCUCUGUCACCCUGAGAGUCUUCGUGGCAAUGAUGGGGCCAGCUGCAGAUAGUCCCUAUAAAGAAGAUGGAUCGCCUUUUGCAAGGAAAGGCAAUCACAGAACCAGCGACUUGCCAGCAAUGGGGUGAGGAUCACCCAUUGCUUCUGAAGCUUCCUGACUCCCUCCCCAAAACGCCUGGUAUAAUUCCACCUCCUGGAUCUCCUCCAAGUAUCAAUCACCUGUCUCAUAGCAGAAUAUGCAGAAAAAUGCUUGGAAAAGUUACUUUUUUGGAUCAUUACUCCUAGAACACCGUACCAAAUCUAUCUCAUAUUUUAAAACAAAAUAUUAGCAUUUAAUUUUUUUGUGAGAAAUUACAAUAAAAAAAAGAUCGUAUUUGUUGAUUUAUUGGCU